AUGAACGCUGGCGGCGUGCUUAACACCUGCAAGUCGAACGGAAAGGCCAGUGCUUGCACUGGUACUCGAGUGGCGAACGGGUGGGUAACACGUGGGUGAUCUGCCCUGUACUUCGGGAUAAGCUUGGGAAACUGGGUCUAAUACCGGAUAGGACAACUUUUUGGAUAUUGUUGUGGAAAGCUUUUGCGGUAUGGGAUGAGCUCGCGGCCUAUCAGCUUGUUGGUGGGGUAAUGGCCUACCAAGGCGUCGACGGGUAGCCGGCCUGAGAGGGUGUACGGCCACAUUGGGACUGAGAUACGGCCCAGACUCCUACGGGAGGCAGCAGUGGGGAAUAUUGCACAAUGGGCGCAAGCCUGAUGCAGCGACGCCGCGUGGGGGAUGAAGGCCUUCGGGUUGUAAACUCCUUUCGCUAGGGACGAAGCGCAAGUGACGGUACCUGGAGAAGAAGCACCGGCUAACUACGUG
rnacentral:rRNA from 1 species